CUGAGAGACAUUUCAUGUCUAUUCUUUCCUAUCUACUCAAUAUUUUAUCACCCUCUCAAAACAAAGCAAAAUAAAAAAGCAGAGAGAAGAGAUUUUCAGUGAGAACAGGGGAUCUGGUGCACAGGGGUCUGUGAGCCAGCUAUUUGAAUGCAAGGUAAGAACCCUGACGUGGGAAAAAAUGGGGAGGAAGAGACAAGUGAACGACAAGACAGAGAUGAGCACUAACAGGUGAGGAGCCACACUGGAUGUCAAGCACAAAGCUUCUGGAAAUGCCUUCUAUGUUUUGAGCUUUGAACUGAGAUGGUGAAAUUGAAUUGCAAGAUAAUGUAUUGUCAGGAGUCAGCCAACUUUUUCUGUAAAGAGCCAGAUAAUAAAUAUUUUAGGCUUUGCAGGCCAUACAGUUUCUGUUGCAAGUAUUCAACUCUUCCUUUGUAGGGCAAAAGCAGCCAUACACAAUAUGUAAACAAAUAGGUAUGGCUGUGUUUCAAUAAAAUUGUAUUUAUAAACACUAAAAUUUGGUAAUUUCCAUUUAUCAUAAAAUAUUAUUCUUCUUUUAAUUUUUUCCCCAAAUAGUUAAGACUACUCACAGCUCAUGAAUGAACAAAAACAGACAGUGGUUCAGACCUGACCCAAAGACCAUACUUUUUUACCCCUGUGUUAAGUGACCAUGAGAGGAUAGAAGAAUGGGUAAACUGGGCCAUAUAUCUUCAAACAAAUGAUUCUGGACCUUUUAAUAUGAUGGUGGCUGGAUUACAAGAAAAUAAUUCAGCACAUCACUGGGUGCUUAAGAGUUUCUGUUGAUAAUAAAAGAAGACAAAACAAAUUUGAGAUCCUGCAUCCCUUCAAAUGAGGAGUCCAGCUGACUCGAAUGAUGAGCAGGCAGAGGCCAGCACCUUCUUCCUCCUGUGAGCUCUGAAUCCAUUUGUGUGUCCAAGUACUAAAGAGCUGGCCGUCCAUUCCAUCCUAUUUCCUAAAUUAAAUGGGCUGGUCAGUUUCAAUAUUCUACCCAAGUCCAGAUUUCUGAAAAAGCAAAGCCACCAUUACUAGCAACUUCCCUGAGAAAGUGUGUGUGAAUCCUGAAGUCUGGGCAUGACCAAUUGUGACCUGGUCUGGACUGCAGUUCCUAAGCCUACACCUAAGAAUUACUGCUUCUCUUCAGAAAUUGCCUCACUGUGGAGUCUUCUACUAGUCACUCAGUCCUGCUAUUGACCUAAUCAAGGUCUAGUGACCCUGGAAAGCCAUUUCCUUUUCCUUGUAGUUAACAAUUGAGCAGCAACUUUUAUACCUUGAGGCAUCGUUUCAACUUUUCUUUGCCAUAUCUCCUAAACACUGAGCCUUCUUUCUGUUUCUCUUCACCCAUUUCACCUGGACAUCCAUGUGGUCUAAAACCCUUAGACUGUGGGUGGUGGGUAGGGAGUCAGAGGCACAGAAUUGGUGUGUGAGAAGGGGGUGGGGAGGCGGUUGAGGAGAAGGGUGAGAAAAGAACAGAGCUCCCAUGCUGCUUCUGGAAUGAGCUUUCUGUCUUCCAGGCCAUCAAUUUUACCUCUUGCAAUACUUAAUCCCAUAUUCCUGGAGCUCACGAACACAGCAAUGGGAGAAGAAAGGCAGGGAAAUUUUUUUUCAGGGCACAAACCUCUUUAAAAAGUUCACUAACAAUGUACAAUGAAUGAAAUACUGAACGUCCUGUAUAUUAUUUUAAAAAGGGAUAUCAAACAACAGUGCAGGACUGUCUGGUUAUAUUACAGUGUCUAUCUUCUCAUGUGUCAGCAACAAGUAAUGCUGAAGGAGGCCUAAUUAUCAUAUUCACAGUGGUACAGGUAGUAAAACAGUUAUGCUUUGCAUUGCUCAGGAUGUUCAGAGCUGAAAUAGAUAAACUAUGUGGGAGACUAGUAAUAGGUAAUUAUUCUCUACUUACAUAUUCAGCCUCAUAAUUCUAAAUUAAGGUAAGUGGAAAAAGCUCAUAAAAUAUUCAAA
rnacentral:lncRNA from 10 species